rnacentral:tRNA from 1 species
GAGGGUAUAGCUCAGUGGUAGAGUGCCUGCUUAGCAUGCAUGAGGUCCUGGGUUCAAUCCCCAGCACCUCCA